rnacentral:rRNA from 1 species
CGGGGAAUAUUGCGCAAUGGGCGAAGCCUGACGCAGCAACGCCGCGUGAGGGAUGAAGGCUCUCGGGUUGUAAACCUCUUUCAGCAGGGACGAUUGUGACGGUACCUGCAGAAGAAGCCCGCCGAACUACGUGCCAGCAGCCGCGGUAAUACGUAGGGGGCGGAGCGUUGUUCCGGAGUUUAUUGGGCGUAAAGAGCUCGUAGGUGGUUCGAUAAGUCGGGUGUGAAAACUCUGGGCUUAACUCAGAGACGCCACCCGAUACUGUCGUGACUUGAGUCUGGUAGGGGAGUGUGGAAUUCCCAGUGUAGCGGUGAAAUGCGCAGAUAUUGGGAGGAACACCAGUGGCGAAGGCGGCACUCUGGGCCAGUACUGACACUGAGGAGCGAAAGCGUGGGUAGCGAACA